rnacentral:lncRNA from 1 species
AAUUUGAUUGAUGAUAAAAAUGUGUUAAAGGUUGGUGGUGGAGUAGGUAAAAGGGUAAGAGGAGAAGUUCUCAAAAGAAUCAAUAAAAGGGUGGUGGUGGUGGUGAUGCAUAUGAGAUUCCAAAGACAGGUGGUAUAGGCCCUUCAUAUACAGGUGGUGGUGGCGGCGAUGAAUAUACCGGUGGUGGAGGUGAGGGAUAUGCAUAUACUGGUGAUGGUGGGGGUGAGGUGUAUACCGGUGGUGGCGGUGAGGGAUAGGCAUAUACUGGUGAUGGUGGUGGUGAUGGGGAUGGUGGUGGGUGAUAAGGUGUUUGAUGUGGCGCUGGCGAUGAUGGUGGUGGAGGUUCUACACAAGGUGGCGGUGGAGGUGGUGGAGGUUCUACACAAGGUGGUGGAGAUGGCGGUGGUGGUGAAUAGACUGGUGGUGGAGGUGAGUGUACUGGAGGAGGUGGUGGGGGUGAUAAAUAUGGAUAUACGGGUGGAGGAGGUGAGUGAGGUGGUGGUGGUGGCGAAC